GAUGAACGCUGGCGGCGUGCCUAAUACAUGCAAGUCGAGCGAACAGACGAGGAGCUUGCUCCUCUGACGUUAGCGGCGGACGGGUGAGUAACACGUGGAUAACCUACCUAUAAGACUGGGAUAACUUCGGGAAACCGGAGCUAAUACCGGAUAAUAUAUUGAACCGCAUGGUUCAAUAGUGAAAGACGGUUUUGCUGUCACUUAUAGAUGGAUCCGCGCCGCAUUAGCUAGUUGGUAAGGUAACGGCUUACCAAGGCAACGAUGCGUAGCCGACCUGAGAGGGUGAUCGGCCACACUGGAACUGAGACACGGUCCAAACUCCAACGGGAGGCAGCAGUAGGGAAUCUUCCGCAAGGGGCGAAACCCUGACGGAGCAACGCCGCGUGAGUGAUGAAGGCCUUCGAACCGUAAAACCCGGUUAUUAGGGAAGAACAAAUGUGUAAGUAACUAGCACCGUCUUGACGGUACCUAACCAGAAAGCCACGGCUAACUACGU
rnacentral:rRNA from 1 species